CUUGGGAUUAAGGAUUUUGCUCGCGGUUGCACAGUCACGAAGUGGACCAGGCCGGGGCAAGGGCAGAUCCAGGCAGGAGGAGCUUCAGCAGUGGAAGAAUUUGCAGACCUGGGACACCACCUUGCCAGGGUGCUCCGGGGGAACAGGGGACCUCAAGCUUAAGCUCACAGCUGCGUGGGAAAUCUGGCAAAGGAAGGGCACCAGGCCAGCCUGAGAGAGGAGAGAGGGGCCGUCGGAGAAAAAGAGAGCCCUUUCUCUCUUCGCUGCUGGGACUCUGUGUAGGGAUCAUGAUCCUUCGCGGCCUGUUGUCAAAUAUCCAGAAAGCACUGCUUCCGAAAUCUCCUGGAUUUCUAGUUGUUUAAGGACACCACCACCCCCAUCCAGAGCAUGAUGUGCCAGUACCUGGGUGGGUCUCACAGCACAUGAGCUCAACGUGGGUGAGAGGCAGCAGCUACUUCCAUGGCUGGGAACCCUGGGGAGCUGACAACUGGCUUCCUGUCCACCUCAGUGCCUGUG